UAUCUACGUGGCCGCUGGGGUACACGUGAUCAGUGGAAUGGAGUUGUUUCUGCUGAUGUUUCCUCGUUACUGUACUUAAGUCGUUUUUUUGUGGAUAUCUGUACUUUACUAUUUAUAUUUAUUUUUCUUCACUACAUUUUGCAAAGAAAACUGAUACUUUUACAUUUCCCCUGAAACCUUCGUUACUCGCUACAAAAUCAAAUCUAUCUUUAGAAAAAAAUUAAUCGUGAGACCAACGUCGGGGACUGUGGUGGAACAGACUCCAAGCCAGCAGGUUGAAUCAGUGGUCCGAGUUUAAGUUACAUCAUUGGUUAAUCACGUUAUUGCGCUAGUGCUCUUUUAUUCCCAGUGAUGCCCGGGAUGCUAACAUAGCUAGCGAGCGGCUACUAUGAGUAGAUGACUGUUUUCAUGAUGGAUGCACCUGCUACUCCCGCAACAAACGACAGUGGUGACGAAGACCAACAACGGAUUGGAUAAUAUCUCUGGCGGGAAACCGCUUGCUCCGCCUCCUCGACGCUCACCACUUCACCCUCCAUCUCCAUCUUCACCUCCACCUGAGAGUUCACCACCUGAUGCCCGUCCACUUCUGUUGUGGUCACGUGCACCACCUGGAUCUGUACCCCGGCCCGCUUAAGUCUCUCCACGUCCUCCUCGCACAUCUCCGCCACCCCUCCGUCCUCCACCAAGACCGUCGUCAUUGUCGUCUCCUCCUCCAUCUCCAUCACGUCCACUGGCUCGACCGUGACAUGCUCCACUUGGAUGCCGUCGUCCAGCAGAACCGUCUCGGCUCCCUCUAUUGCGAUGGCGGAGGCAGAGUCACUGAGGACCAGCUCUUCCGCCGAAUUGUCCUCAAUGGAAUGGAUGUGUUUGAGGUGGGCCUUUAGGUCUUUUGGGUGGGUGAACCACAUAUCACACAUGGUGCAGUGGUUGGGCUUGUCGCCCGUGUGGCUCACGAGAUGGUCUUUGAAUUGGUCCCAGCUGUUGAAUACACUGCUGCAGACCUGAUGGAGGAGAACAUAGUGGGGCCAAUGUUAAAACUUGAGCAAAACCCCACCACAGGCCUGGAGCCCAAAACCAAACCUUUUCCAUUUACUACAAGAAAAGCAACAUAUUAUUUCAAUUUGGAGUGAACCAUCAAUUUCUUGAAAUGUUUGCAUAGAACAUGUCUUCAGCAUUUUCUUAUGAAUUAAUAUCAAUAUUCAAUCUAUCAAUUAAUAGAAUCCUUGCUGCUCUACUCAACUUAAUGGAAACUAGACCUUUUUGAAUACAGAAAUACACCAUUCACCUGUGAAGCACAUCUGGCCUUACGUGGAUCACGUUGACUACCUGAAAUUGGCUGAUAAUAAUAUUCCACACACAACCGUCAAAAGAAUGUUUACGACCGCCAUACAUUUUUACUUGUAGAGACCCUGUGAUAAGAGUUGUCCCCAACAUACAUCCCUUUCAGCGAAUUAUGACAAUUUGUUACACACGCUAAAAACUCCAUUCCCCCAAAUGUAGUGUGCUAAAUGUAAGUUCGCUGUUGACAAAUCAUUUAUUGCGUCACAAAAUCUGAACUGCUUUUCAUCACUGUAAUAAAAUAUGUUUUCUACGGUGGACACUGCACUGGCCUGGAUCCUGGACAAGCUGUACCUGGCAUUCGUAGAGUUUCUUGCGUCCUUUCUUGGCUCCAGCCCCAUUCUGACAGGCCGCCAUAUGGCACUUCAGUGUGCUGUUCCUUGCGAAACGCUCGUGGCAAUCUGGACACUCAUAAGGUUUUUCACCUACAGAUAGACAUAUAAAUGCGUGCAUUUCAAUACUAGAUGAGUAACAACAAGUAAAUGAUACAUAAUGAUGAAAAACUCCACUGAACACAGCCAGCGUUCUUUUCGCCUCCCAUUCUCACCAGUGUGCUUCCGUAAGUGCUCCUUAAAGUGGCCGAAGUGGUCAAAGUGCUUUUUACAGUAUUCACAGACAUGCACCCUCUUCUGGGGUUUCUGGUUCUGAGACAGCUCUUCCGCAUCAAAAUGAAACGUGCCGAUGUGCUGCUUCAAGGCGCCCUCCCUCGUGUAGGCUUUCCCGCAGUGGUCGCACACGUGUGGUUUUUCCAUCGAACCCAGGUGGGUUUUCAAGUGCUGUUUGAGGUGGUAGUACAGCUUGAAGCUGCGAUCGCACUUGUUGCAGCGGAACAUGUUGUCCACUUGGGAAAUCUGGACCUCCACGACCUCGACAUUCUCCAGCACCUUUGAGGCCGUCACCGUUUCCUCCUGGUACACCAUCUCCUGUCAAGUGCAAACACGGGGUGACCAGGGUUAAGCCUUUCAUAUUGAGAAGUCUCACUGUGUAGACAUAGUUUGCCAAUUAAUAGACCAUUAGAGCAUACAAGUCAGUGUACCUCUUCUAGUUCUUCUUUCUUUAAGACCUGAGGCAUAGGUUCCCCUUGCUGAUACUUGCUGGUUAUGUCCGCCAGAAGAGCCAAAGCAGAGUCGUCGGACGCCGCCUGAGCAUUCUUUGCUGCAUCAACCACCUCCUCCAGUCCGGUCUCCUCCAGCUCGAUGGCCCCUCCUUCCCCAAUCACCUCAAUUUCCACCUGGAGCACAUGGAAAAUGUUCAGUCCUGACAAAAUGUGAAAUGUUUGCACGUCAUAUAUUGGUUUGAUUUUAGCGAUGUAUGUCUUUGAGUGUGACCACCAUGAACGUACUGACCUGUUCCCCUUCCACUGAAGGUAGGGUUUCUGUAAUCACAUUAGAAGUCUCCGCAAUCUUCCUCUUUUUACCUUUGCCCUUGGCCGUCAGCGAGGGAUUCUCAUUUAUCCUACAAGAGAAGACAAGCUGUUGGUGAGAGUGAUCAUCUGCAGCGGUGGGUGACGUGACGAGUGAAUCGAGACUCACUUUACGUUGAGCGCUUUGAUGGCUUCCUGCAUCUGGAGGUAUUCCGCAGCCUUCCAGACAUCAUAGGCCUCUUCUUCUCC